GGGGGCAAGAGGUUCGACUCGAGCGAAGCGAGAGAACGUUGCGUCAGCAACGGCCCGCAGGGCGAGCCACGCAGUGGCGAGUCAUCCUCUCCUGGCGCCUG
rnacentral:sRNA from 1 species